rnacentral:rRNA from 1 species
CUUCGGGUUGUAAACCUCUUUUAGCAGGGAAGAAGCGAAAGUGACGGUACCUGCAGAAAACGCGCCGGCUAACUACGUGCCAGCAGCCGCGGUAAUACGUAGGGCGCAAGCGUUAUCCGGAAUUAUUGGGCGUAAAGAGCUCGUAGGCGGUUUGUCGCGUCUGCUGUGAAAUCCGGAGGCUCAACCUCCGGCCUGCCCUGGGUACGGGCAGACUAGAGUGCGGUAGGGGAGAUUGGAAUUCCUGGUGUAGCGGUGGAAUGUC